rnacentral:lncRNA from 1 species
CACUUUGUUUAAAAACCCUUCUCCCAUGCCAAAAGGAGAAGUGAUGACAUUGUUGGCAACAUUUUGUGCAAUGAUAUUUUCAUUCAAAUAAAUUCAUGUUAAAACAUUUGUUUUUCCAUUUGUUUUCCCUUUUCGCUUUUUGCAUGAAAUUGGUGAUCACAAAAAACCUUAAAAACAAGAAUAAAAGCAAUCUUUUCAUCUGCAUAACGAUUGUCUUGUUUGUUUUUCAAAAAGCUUUUCAUCUCUAAAUCUUUAUGCAGGUUGUUUCUCAAACCCAUUGAACAUAAUGAUCGGACGUCAUCUCCCAAUUUUGAAUUCCCUGUAUUCGAAGCGGACGAAGAUGAUGUUGAAGGG